rnacentral:rRNA from 1 species
GUAACGAUAAAGGGGGCGGGAAACCCCCUCGCCGAAAGACUAAGGUUUCCUGAUCAACGCUAAUCGGAUCAGGGUAAGUCGGGACCUAAGGCUCAGCCUAACGGCGAGGCCGAUGGCAGAAACGGUAAAGAUUCCGUUACUACUUUCAAUGGUGAUGUGGAGACGCAGUAGUGACACCGCCGCCGGCUGACGGAAUAGCCGGUUAAAGAGUGUAGACGUCGAUUUCCGCAGGAGUCGUAGGAGG